UCUCCGGUAGCUCAGUUGGUUAGAGCUUUGUGCUUAUGUUGUUUCCUUUUAUCUCACAAGGGUCGGGAGUUCGACUCUCCUCCGGAGAA